UGUUUAUCCCAGUGGCAGAAAAGAGGAUUAAUUAUUUCUAUGAAGCUAACACUUCUCUUUGUGUCAAAGUGCUGGGAAAGAGCACAUUUACCUUAAAAAAUGCAUGUUUUUGUAAUUUGUGCUUUUCAUUUCUAUAUUAGACAAUGGAUUCACUGAGAGCAGGAUCUGUUUGCUGAUUCUCUUGGAAAAGCCAAUCCAACAGUGACAAGCAUUUGGAAGUCUAACUUCUACUACAAAGGAAGUGCAGCAAACCUUAUGAAACUAGCCAAGAGAAACAAGGACAUCCUAGGAAGUGAAGGCUGUGUAAAACCCCGCAGAGUAUGUUUCCCAAACUUCUGCAGGAUUCAGACGUUUCAUGGAACAUAGACACUUCCUGGUGAGAGAUGAGAACAUUAUAUACAAAUAACUCUGUUUGCACAGGAUUGCAGGAGGAGAACAUAAAAAUGAAACAAAUUGAGGAGAUAAUGUGGAUUCCUGAGAAUGAAAGUGUCUUAUCCCAAUUCCUUCACUCCUGGAAACAGCAUUUUAUGAUGAUUAAAUAUGGGAGCUAUGGCCCCACCCCCUAGCAACCAGUGAGCAGACAGUGAGGACCUUGCCUGUGUGGACACCUCCCCCCCCCCCCAUCUCUGGCCUCCUGGCUGUGCUGGUACCUGGUCCCAGGUAUACAGGUGUACAGAGGCACAGGGGGUCAUAAAGGCCAUUGUACUGAGCUCCAGAAGAUAGAGCAGAAGUGAACAACAGAAAGAGGGCCUUUCUCAGUCUUCUUGAUGGAAAUUGAAGCCCACUGGAAAAGUGAAGAGAAUCUCUGCAAUAAAGACAUACCAGACCACCAUACUUGGUAAGUUGGAGGGACCAUCACCUCCCAUUGGAACCUUUCAGGGGAAGGGCAGCUGGAACCUGCAGUAGAACAUUGCAGAGUUCAACCCUUCAGGAGGACAGGGAGCUCAACUUGGGACUUAUAGCCAGAAAUCUGCCUGAAUCUCAUGGGU
rnacentral:lncRNA from 1 species